GGCCUGGUGGUGUAGUGGAAACACACCCUCUUAUAUUAGUCCGAAUCAUAGCCUUUUGAGGGUGCUCCUUGUUCGAAUCAAGGCUAGGCCA